rnacentral:rRNA from 1 species
UACGGAGGGUGCAAACGUUGCUCGGAAUCAUUGGGCGUAAAGCGCACGUAGGCGGCCUGUUAAGUCGGGUGUGAAAGCCCUGGGCUCAACCUAGGAACUGCACUCGAAACUGCGUUUCUUGAGUAUCGGAGAGGAAAGCGGAAUACCUGGUGUAGAGGUGAAAUUCGUAGAUAUCAGGUGGAACACCAGUGGCGAAGGCGGCUUUCUGGACGAUAACUGACGCUGAGACGCGAAAGCGUGGGGAGCAAACAGG